rnacentral:rRNA from 1 species
UACGGAGGGAGCUAGCGUUGUUCGGAAUUACUGGGCGUAAAGCGCGCGUAGGCGGCUUUGUAAGUUAGAGGUGAAAUCCCGGGGCUCAACCCCGGAACUGCCUUUGAUACUGAUAGUCUCGAGUCCGGAAGAGGUGAGUGGAAUUCCGAGUGUAGAGGUGAAAUUCGUAGAUAUUCGGAGGAACACCAGUGGCGAAGGCGGCUCCCUGGUCCGGUACUGACGCUGAGGUGCGAAAGCGUGGGGAGCAAACAGG